UACGUAGGGUGCGAGCGUUGUCCGGAAUUAUUGGGCGUAAAGAGCUCGUAGGCGGUUUGUCACGUCUGCUGUGAAAUCCCGAGGCUCAACCUCGGGCCUGCAGUGGGUACGGGCAGACUGGAGUGCGGUAGGGGAGAAUGGAAUUCCCGGUGUAGCGGUGAAAUGCGCAGAUAUCGGGAGGAACACCAGUGGCGAAGGCGGUACUCUGGGCCGGAACUGACGCUGAGGAGCGAAAGCGUGGGUAGCGAACAGG
rnacentral:rRNA from 1 species